GGUGGCUCAGUGGUAGAGUGCUUGCCUUGCAUGCAUGAGGUCCUGGGUUCCAUUCCUAGGUACCA
rnacentral:tRNA from 1 species